CCCUUAGAUGUCCUGGGCCGCACGCGCGCUACACUGACAUGUUCAACAAGCCUCCUAGUUCGACAGGAUUUGGGAAAUCUUUGAACGCAUGUCGUGAUAGGGAUAGAUCAUUGCAAUUAUUGAUCUUGAACGAGGAAUUCCUAGUAAACGCGAGUCAUCAGCUCGCAUUGAUUACGUCCCUGCCCUUUGUACACACCGCCCGUCGCUACUACCGAUUGAAUGGUUUAGUGAGGCCUUCGGAUCCGCGAUUUUAUUGUGGAGAAGUUGGACAAACUCAGUCAUUUAGAGGAAGUAAAAGUCGUAACA
rnacentral:rRNA from 1 species